AUUGAACGCUGGCGGCAGGCUUAACACAUGCAAGUCGAGCGGGGGAAGGUAGCUUGCUACUGGACCUAGCGGCGGACGGGUGAGUCAUGCCUCGGAAUCUGCCUAUUAGUGGGGGACAACAUCUCGAAAGGGAUGCUAAUACCGCAUACGUCCUACGGGAGAAAGCAGGGGAUCUUCGGACCUUGCGCUAAUAGAUGAGCCUAAGUCGGAUUAGCUAGUUGGUGGGAUAAAGGCCUGCCAAGGCGACGAUCUGUAGCGGGUCUGAGACGAUGAUCCGCCACACUGGGACUGAGACACGGCCCAGACUCCUGCGGGAGGCAGCAGUGGGGAAUAGUGGACAAUGGGGGGAUCCCUGAUCCAGCCAUGCAGCGUGUGUGAAGAAGGCCUUAUGGUUGUAAAGCACUUUAAACGAGGAGGAGGCUACUUUAGUUAAUACCUAGAGAUAGUGGACGUUACUCGCAGAAUAAGCACCGGCUAACUCUGUGCCAGCCGCCGCCGUAA
rnacentral:rRNA from 1 species